UGACUGUAGGUGAAAGCUUACAUCUCUUCGGAGUCAUUUUACGUAGGUGCUGCAUGGUUGUCGUCAGCUCGUGCCGUGAGGUGUCGGGUUAAGUCCCAUAACGAGCGCAACCCCUACCUUAGUUGCCAUCAGGUAAUGCUGGGGACUCUAAGGAACUGCCUACGCAAGUAGUGAGGAAGGCGGGGAUGACGUCAAAUCAGCACGGCCCUUACGUCCAGGGCUACACACGUGCUACAAUGGCCGAUACAGAGGGCAGCUACCUGGUGACAGGAUACAAAUCUCCAAAGUCGGUCUCAGUUCGGAUCGGAGUCUGCAACCCGACUCCGUGAAGUUGGAUUCGCUAGUAAUCGCGCAUCAGCCAUGGCGCGGUGAAUACGUUCCCGGGCCUU
rnacentral:rRNA from 1 species